rnacentral:rRNA from 1 species
GAUGAACGCUGGCGGCGUGCUUAACACAUGCAAGUCGAACGGAAAGGCCCUGCUCUUGCGGGGUGCUCGAGUGGCGAACGGGUGAGUAACACGUGAGUAACCUGCCCUUGACUUUGGGAUAACUUCAGGAAACUGGGGCUAAUACCGGAUAGGAGCUCCUGCUGCAUGGUGGGCGUUGGAAAGUUUCGGCGGUUGGGGAUGGACUCGCGGCUUACCAGCUUGUUGGGGGGGUAGUGGCUUACCAAGGCUUCGACGGGUAGCCGGCCUGAGAGGGUGACCGGCCACAAUGGGCCUAAGGUACGGCCCAGACUCGUACGGGAGGCAGCAGGGGGGAAUAUUACACAGUGAGCGGAAGCCUGAGACAAAGACGCCGCGUGCGGGAUGACCGCCUUCGGGGUGUAAACCGCUUUCGCCUGUGACGAAGCGUGAGUGACGGUAAUGGGUAAAGAAGCACCGGCUAACUACGUG